rnacentral:rRNA from 1 species
UACGGGGGGGCUAGCGUUGUUCGGAAUUACUGGGCGUAAAGGGCGCGUAGGCGGCCAACUAAGUCGGACGUGAAAUCCCCAGGCUCAACUUGGGAACUGGCGUCCGAUACUGGAUGGCUUGAAUCCGGGAGAGGGAUGCGGAAUUCCAGGUGUAGCGGUGAAUGCGUAGAUAAUCUGGAGGAACACCGGUGGCGAAGGCGGCAUCCUGGACCGGUA